rnacentral:lncRNA from 1 species
AAUUGCAUUAGUAGACCAAUGACACCUCCCUGAGAAUUGCUUCACAUCAUCUCGGAAUGAAAACAAUUCCAAGAGAAGCUUCAGACUGACUCAAAGAAAAGUCAAAUAAAGAAAAAAAAUGGUUUAUAACAAAGAAAAUAGAAAGUGUUACUCUGCUCAAUGGUGAUGAGGUAGUCUUUCACUAGAGCUUUACGCCUGGCCUG